rnacentral:tRNA from 1 species
GCCAGUGUGGUGGAAUUGGUAGACGCGUCAGACUCAAAAUCUGGUGAUGGCAACAUCAUGUCGGUUCAAGUCCGACCACUGGCACCA